rnacentral:rRNA from 1 species
CAGGCUUAACACAUGCAAGUCGAGGGGCAGCAUGGUCUUAGCUUGCUAAGGCCGAUGGCGACCGGCGCACGGGUGAGUAACACGUAUCCAACCUGCCGUCUACUCUUGGACAGCCUUCUGAAAGGAAGAUUAAUACAAGAUGGCAUCAUGAGUCCGCAUGUUCACAUGAUUAAAGGUAUUCCGGUAGACGAUGGGGAUGCGUUCCAUUAGAUAGUAGGCGGGGUAACGGCCCACCUAGUCUUCGAUGGAUAGGGGUUCUGAGAGGAAGGUCCCCCACAUUGGAACUGAGACACGGUCCAAACUCCUACGGGAGGCAGCAGUGAGGAAUAUUGGUCAAUGGGCGAGAGCCUGAACCAGCCAAGUAGCGUGAAGGAUGACUGCCCUAUGGGUUGUAAACUUCUUUUAUAAAGGAAUAAAGUCGGGUAUGCAUACCCGUUUGCAUGUACUUUAUGAAUAAGGAUCGGCUAACUCCGUGCCAGCAGCCGCGGUAAUACGGAGGAUCCGAGCGUUAUCCGGAUUUAUUGGGUUUAAAGGGAGCGUAGAUGGAUGUUUAAGUCAGUUGUGAAAGUUUGCGGCUCAACCGUAAAAUUGCAGUUGAUACUGGAUAUCUUGAGUGCAGUUGAGGCAGGCGGAAUUCGUGGUGUAGCGGUGAAAUGCUUAGAUAUCACGAAGAACUCCGAUUGCGAAGGCAGCCUGCUAAGCUGCAACUGACAUUGAGGCUCGAAAGUGUGGGUAUCAAACAGGAUUAGAUACCCUGGUAGUCCACACGGUAAACGAUGAAUACUCGCUGUUUGCGAUAUACAGCAAGCGGCCAAGCGAAAGCGUUAAGUAUUCCACCUGGGGAGUACGCCGGCAACGGUGAAACUCAAAGGAAUUGACGGGGGCCCGCACAAGCGGAGGAACAUGUGGUUUAAUUCGAUGAUACGCGAGGAACCUUACCCGGGCUUAAAUUGCAGAUGAAUUACGGUGAAAGCCGUAAGCCGCAAGGCAUCUGUGAAGGUGCUGCAUGGUUGUCGUCAGCUCGUGCCGUGAGGUGUCGGCUUAAGUGCCAUAACGAGCGCAACCCUUGUUGUCAGUUACUAACAGGUUCCGCUGAGGACUCUGACAAGACUGCCAUCGUAAGAUGUGAGGAAGGUGGGGAUGACGUCAAAUCAGCACGGCCCUUACGUCCGGGGCUACACACGUGUUACAAUGGGGGGUACAGAGGGCCGCUACCACGCGAGUGGAUGCCAAUCCCAAAAACCUCUCUCAGUUCGGACUGGAGUCUGCAACCCGACUCCACGAAGCUGGAUUCGCUAGUAAUCGCGCAUCAGCCACGGCGCGGUGAAUACGUUCCCGGGCCUUGUACACACCGCCCGUCAAGCCAUGGGAGCCGGGGGGUACCUGAAGUGCGUAACCGCGAGGAGCGCCCUAGGGUAAAACUGGUGACUGGGGCUA